rnacentral:rRNA from 1 species
UACGUAGGGUGCAAGCGUUGUCCGGAAUUAUUGGGCGUAAAGAGCUCGUAGGCGGUCUGUCGCGUCGAAUGUGAAAACCCGGGGCUCAACCCCGGACUUGCAGUGGGUACGGGCAGACUAGAGUGUGGUAGGGGAGACUGGAAUUCCUGGUGUAGCGGUGAAAUGCGCAGAUAUCAGGAGGAACACCGAUGGCGAAGGCAGGUCUCUGGGCCGAUACUGACGCUGAGGAGCGAAAGCGUGGGGAGCGAACAGG